AGAGCAACAUCAUUGAUAUAUACAGAGAAAAGAGUCGGCCCGAGAAUUGAACCCUGUGGCACCCCCAUAGAGACUGCCAGAGGACCGGACAGCAUGCCCUCCGAUUUGACACACUGAACUCUGUCUGCAAAGUAAUUGGUGAACCAGGCAAGGCAGUCAUCCGAAAAACCGAGGCUACUGAGUCUGCCGAUAAGAAUAUGGUGAUUGACAGAGUCGAAAGCCUUGGCAAGGUCGAUGAAGACGGCUGCACAGUACUGUGUUUUAUCGAUGGCGGUUAUGAUAUCAUUUAGUACCUUGAGCGUGGCUGAGGUGCACCCGUGACCGGCUCGGAAACCAGAUUGCACAGCGGAGAAGGUACGGUGGGAUUCGAGAUUGUCAGUGACCUGUUUGUUGACUUGGCUUUCGAAGACCUUAGAUAGGCAGGGCAGGAUGGAUAUAGGUCUGUAACAGUUUGGGUCCAGGGUGUCUCCCCCUUUGAAGAGGGGGAUGGCUGCGGCAGCUUUCCAAUCCUUGGGGAUCUCAGACGAUAUGAAAGAGAGGUUGAACAGGCUGGUAAUAGGGGUUGCGACAAUGGCGGCGGAUAGUUUCAGAAAUAGGGGUCCAGAUUGUCAAGCCCAGCUGAUUUGUACGGGUCCAGGUUUUGCAGCUCUUUCAGAACAUCUGCUAUCUGGAUUUGGGUAAAGGAGAACCUGGAGAGGCUUGGGCGAGGAGCUGCCGGGGGCGGAGCUGUUGGCCGAGGUUGGAGUAGCCAGGCGGAAGGCAUGGCCAGCCGUUGAGAAAUGCUUAUUGAAGUUUUCGAUAAUCAUGGAUUUAUCGGUGGUGACCGUGUUACCUAGCCUCAGUGCAGUGGGCAGCUGGGAGGAGGUGCUCUUGUUCUCCAUGGACUUCACAGUGUCCCAGAACUUUUUGGAGUUGGAGCUACAGGAUGCAAACUUCUGCCUGAAGAAGCUGGCCUUAGCUUUCCUGACUGACUGCGUGUAUUGGUUCCGGACUUCCCUGAACAGUUGCAUAUCACGAGGACUAUUCGAUGCUAUUGCAGUCCGCCACAGGAUGUUUUUGUGCUGGUCGAGGGCAGUCAGGUCUGGGGUGAACCAAGGGCUGUAUCUGUUCUUAGUUCUGCAUUUUUUGAACGGAGCAUGCUUAUCUAAAAUGGUGAGGAAGUUACUUUUAAAGAAUGACCAGGCAUCCUCAACUGACGGGAUGAGGUCAAUGUCCUUCCAGGAUACCCGGGCCAGGGCGAUUAGAAAGGCCUGCUCACAGAAGUGUUUAGGAUACAGAUAUAGACCCAGACAUAGCAGAGUUGCUGAUGGAGGAUGAGGAUACAGAUAUAGACCCAGACAUAACAGAGUUACUAAAGGAGGAUGAGGAUACAGAUAUAGACCCAGUCAUAGCAGAGUUACUGAAGGAGGAUGAGGAUGCAGAUAUAGACCCAGACAUAGCAGAGUUACUGAAGGAGGAUGAGGAUGCAGAUAUAGACCCAGACAUAGCAGAGUUGCUGAUGGAGGAUGAGGAUACAGAUGUAGACGCAGACAUAGCAGAGUUGCUGAUGGAGGAUGAGGAUACAGAUAUAGACCCAGACAUAACAGAGUUACUGAAGGAGGAUGAGGAUACAGAUACAGACCCAGACAUAACAGAGUUACUGAAGGAGGAUGAGGAUACAGAUAAAGACCCAGACAUAACAGAGUUACUGAAGGAGGAUGAUGAUAUAGAUAUAGACCCAGACAUAACAGUUACUGAAGGAGGAUGAGGAUACAGAUAUAGACCCAGACAUAACAGUUACUGAAGGAGGAUACAGAUAUAGACCCAGACAUAGCAGAGUUACUGAUGGAGGAUGAGAAUGCAGAUAUAGACCAAGUUCUCAUUUAGAACUGCAACCUGGCCAAGAUAAAGCACAGCAGUUCGACACAUACAACAACACAGAGUUACACACAGAAUAAACAAACGUACAGUCAAUAAUACAGUAUUGUGCAUUGGUGCUGGUACCAGGGAGCCAUAGAAAAUUGUAAAGAUCCACCCUGUCACAAAAACCUUGGAGGCCAUAUAUUUUUUAAUAGAGAGGUUGCACAGAAAAUGGUACCUGUAUAUCAUAGGAUGUCAAAUGAUAAUGUCCUCAAAAGAAUCUAGCACCCAGAAUGAAAAUGAAUGUCUGAACUCUGUAGUAUGGUCACGAUGCCCCAAAACUGUCUUCUUGGACAAAAGCCGCAUUGACGGAGCAGCCAGUAUGGCAGUAGCUAUGUUCAGUGAGGGAGCCACUGCUAUAACAAAUCUGAUGAACAAAUUGUGUCUUGACAGCACUUUGGUGACACUGGUGCAAUCAGAGAGGAGUUGUGAGAGCUGAUGCUGCUUCAACAGAGUGUGCCAAGCAUAGGCGCAGGUCCCAUGACACAGUCAAGAAAGUAAAGCGUCACCAACAACAACUCAGAGGGCCUUACAUAUGGGCCAGGCAUAGCUGAUUUAAUGUCCUGCACAUUUCAACAGCCAUACAAAAUCCUUGUAUGUGACAAAUUGAGCAAAGUGAUAUGAGAAUUUGCCCAAAAGAAGGCAGGCAAUGGAACAGAGAGCUUUCAGGAAAAACAGCACUGCCGGGUUGGAUUUUCCUCAGGUUUUCGCCUGCAAUAUCAGUUCUGUUAUAGUCACAGACAAUAUUUUGACUGUUUUUGAAACUUUAGAGUUUUUCUAUCCUAAUCUGACAAUUAUAUGCAUAUUCUAGAUUCUGGGCCUGAGAAAUAGGCAGUUUCAUUUGGGUAUGUUUUUCAUCCAAACAUCAACAUACUGCCCCCUACACUCAACAGGUUAAUAGUUGUUUUUUAAAAAUAUAUUCCAUGAAAUUACAAUAUUUUGAUAAACAAAUCUGUAAAGUCUGACCAUUGAGUGUCUUAUCACAACAAAACAAAAAUAAUUCUGCCUUGAAGAAAUGUUUUGGAAAAACAGAUUCUCAAAAUAUGCAAAUUAGCACAUAUUUAAGGACGGUUUGCCACAUUUGCAUAUUCAAUUGUUUUAAUAAAUUGAACUUGUAAAACAAUAAUAUCUUGUAUUAAUGCAUACUUUUAACUGGUAAAGUUUCAGUCUAAUGAGAGUAAAGGAAAAAAAUCCCUGUUAGCCUCUGUCAAGCUCUUGAUUUUGUUGAGAUUGACGUAUUGGUAGUCAUGAUGCAUACAGUAGUUAUAAUUCCUUCCAUAUUACUAAAGUCUAUAAUCAACUUGACCAUCAAUUCAUUUAAGUGAAUUUUCAUAACCAACACGAGCUUAGGGUUUUUGGAUCCCCUCCAGACCAUGAUGAAUUAUGAGAGUGGAGCUGUUGAUGUUCAGUAACCUUGGCUGGUCUGGUAACCUUGGCUGGUCUGAAAAGAUUUCCUAGAACCUCUCCACAGCAGCCGCUGGCCUACCACGCUAGUGUUGUGUUCUCACACAAGCCAUGCAUGUUCUGUAGAAGCUGGCGUUUCCUCAACAGGGCCAGAUGCUUCCUUCAGGAAUCCUCCAUCAUCUGUCUCCUGAUUUGCUGUUGAAACAUUUGGCAAAAUAUCAAUCCUAGGAAAGAGCAACGAGUUUACCUUUGCAUCCCAUUAACUCAAAGUAAACUCUGUUGAAGUGCGCCAUGUAAUGACACUUCACGAAUUUACUGAGAAUUUGUAUGUUUGUGCAUUUGGUUCCUCAGGCCAACUGCAAGGAGAAAUCACAAACACUUAAUCCUUAAUUUAUCCAUAAAGGACACUUCUCUAUAUAAGGAAAUAAGACACUAUCUCAGGGUUAAAAGGUGGCCGGUCUCAAGAUUUUACUGUCUGGCACAGAGUGGUAGAAGCUGUAACUAACUAUACAUCGGCCAGGCCUAUGUAGUGAAGCUCUCCCACAUACAUACUGUAUCUUAAAGGACCAUGGCAUGAUUCAUUGUAGCUACCUCAGUUCCUCCCUCUUUAUCUAAAAUAUUGGCUAGAUGGAUGCAGAAAAAAAGUCCCCCAAAACAUACAAUAGCCUGUCAAAAGGAGACAAAUUGACAAGUGGUCUAUGAGGUGUUUUAAAUCUGGUUAGUUUGAACUUUUCUGUUAUGUAAUGUGACAGGUUACUACACUCUUUGGAAAGUCUGUUUGCUUGCCUACCCGUUGUGAGAGCAAAAUUGCAAGAUUAUAUUACAAUGCUGUAAUUGCAUCAAAUGGUUGUUUUCUGCAACAUAAUAGAGGGUUCUUAUAACUCUAUUGUGUCCGUGUAAACUGAAAGUGGGCCUCUGGGAGAUUUAACAUGGACAGGAGAUUUACGAUGUCUUUGGGUGAUACCGCAUUCCAGAGCAUGAGUUAA
ensembl:lncRNA